GACGAACGCUGGCGGCGUGCUUAACACAUGCAAGUCGAACGAAGUGGCGAACGGGUGAGUAACGCGUAAUUAACCUGCCCUUCAGAGGGGGACAACAGUUGGAAACGACUGCUAAUACCGCAUACUGAAGGAGGGGAUUGCGUCUGAUUUGCUAGGUGGAGGGGUAACGGCCAACCAAGGCGAUGAUCAGUAGCCGGGCUUGAAGGGUGAACGGCCACAUUGGGACUGAGACCCGGCCCAGACUCCUCCGGGAGGCAGCAGGUGGGAAACUUCCGACAUUGACGGAAGGCUUACGGAACAAAUCCGCGUGAGUGAUGACGGCCCUCGGGUUGUAAAGCUCUGUUAAUCGGGACGCGGUACCGGAAUAGAAAGCCACGGCUAACUACGUGCCAGCCGCCGCGGUAAUUC
rnacentral:rRNA from 1 species